GAUGAACGCUGGCGGCGUGCCUAAUACAUGCAAGUCGAGCGAACGGACGAGAAGCUUGCUUCUCUGAUGUUAGCGGCGGACGGGUGAGUAACACGUGGAUACCCUACCUAUAAGACUGGGAUAACUUCGGGAAACCGUAGCUAAUACCGGAUAAUAUUUUGAACCGCAUGGUUCAAAAGUGAAAGACGGUCUUGCUGUCACUUAUAGAUGGAUCCGCGCUGCAUUAGCUAGUUGGUAAGGUAACGGCUUACCAAGGCAACGAUGCAUAGCCGACCUGAGAGGGUGAUAGGCGGCACGGGAGCGUGGACACGGUCCUGACGCCUACGGGAGGCAGCAGUAGGGAAUCGUACGCAGUGGGCGAAAGCCUGACGGAACAGCGCCGCGUGAGUGAUGAAGACCUUGGGAGCGUAAAACUCUGUUAUGAGGGAAGAACAGAUGUGUAAGGAACUGUGCAGAGAGUGACGGUACCUAAUCAGAAAGCCACGGCUAACUACGUG
rnacentral:rRNA from 1 species